rnacentral:lncRNA from 1 species
CCGCUGUGGCUGGCACCCAGGACCUACUCACAGAAGUGUCAGUGAUAAGAUCUUGAUUCUGAGCACAUUCGAAUUUCAAGGCCAGUAGAUCUUCCCCUUCCUUUGUUUUAUGAACACAAGUCCCCAGAAAGAAGCUACAUCUUCAAACUGAAAUCUUCUGUAAGGCUCAUGAAUCAUUGAAAAGUUCAAUGACUGUGGAGAGGUUACAAUGUUCCUGGUCCAGAAGUUGUUUAGUACUUCUCUUGGGCUAUUUUUAGUACCUUAAGUAGCCAUUUGUUUCCCCACCUCUGCCAGACCUAACCUCCUGUAACAAACAGAUACAAACAGAUCUCCUUUAGGGAAAAUUCCUGCCCCUGAGGAUGGUCUCAUCAGCCACUGUGAGAUUAGGAUGGGUUUGUCUGCCUAGAUUUCUUUGGGAUGCCAGCCCAGGGCUCAGGUAUGCUUUGCGGGGGCGAGGGUGGGGGUGGGGGCGGGGGUGGGGCGGGGGUCUUUGGGGUUAUUUCUCACUCUGCCUUUAAAACCCCCCUCCAAUGUAGUUGCUUGUCUGCUAAGAGGUUGGCUUCUAUGCUGACUUAACUCAAGUUCUCUAGCUUUUCUCUCCUCCUCCAUCCUCCUCCUCUGGACAGAUGCUAAGCAUUAUAGCUUGCCUUCCCUGGGAUUUCUCUUUUAAACUCUAAUAAAAGUAUCUUCUUUUGAAUAGGUUUUAGCCUUGCUUGACUUUCAAACUCUGCCUGACUUUAAACUCUUUGAUUCAACUGAGAAAGUGAAUCCAUUCCUGUACCUGGAGGGUAUCAGUCUCUCUGCCUCAGAGCUUGAGUCUUCAAACUAGAUGGACUCAGUAAAGAAUGUGAAUGUGCUCGGCUUCGGGCCAUGUCUCCUUCCCAAGGGAUAGUGUUGCACAUUUGCAGGACACCGGUUUCAGAG